rnacentral:rRNA from 1 species
AUCAGCGGCGAUAGCACGUUGAAUGCACCAGUUCCCCACGGAUCACUGAAGUUAAGCAACGUUGCGCGUAAUUAGUACCUGGAUGGUGACCAUGGAGGGAAUCGUGUGCUGCUGGGU